AGUGAACGCUGGCGGUAGGCCUAACACAUGCAAGUCGAACGGCAGCACAGUAAGAGCUUGCUCUUACGGGUGGCGAGUGGCGGACGAGUGAGGAAUACAUCGGAAUCUACUUUUUCGUGGGGGAUAACGUAGGGAAACUUACGCUAAUACCGCAUACGACCUACGGGUGAAAGCAGUGGAUCUUCGGACCUUUCGCGAUUGAAUGAGCCGAUGUCGGAUUAGCUAGUUGGCUGGGUAAAGGCCCACCAAGGCGACGAUCCGUAGCUGGUCUGAGAGGAUGAUCAGCCACACUGGAACUGAGACACGGUCCAGACUCCUACGGGAGGCAGCAGUGGGGAAUAUUCGACAAUGGGCGCAAGCCUGAUCCAGCCAUACCGCGUGGGUGAAGAAGGCCUUCGGGUUGUAAAGCCCUUUUGUUGGGAAAGAAAAGCAGCAGGUUAAUACCCCGCUGUUCUGACGGUACCCAAAGAAUAAGCAACGGCUAACUUCGUG
rnacentral:rRNA from 1 species